AGAAGAGGGACGGCUGCUGCCUUCUCUCUUCUUUUAUCCAGAUAAAGGAAAGGAUCUGGUAAGCAGCGCAACAAUCACCCCUCCUCUCAACCUCGAACACUAUGUCCUUGCCUCGUCAACCAUCUUGAUCAUUGGAUAAAAAGUCACAAGAUGGAGAGUGCGCGUACUUAUAAUGAUUUGGCAUUCAACAUUCUAGGCUCUAGCUGAUUGUCCUCAUAUCCGUGGUAAUUUUCGAAAUGCAUAUCUUUGGAACUUUCCUCAGCCCGGUCAAUCACAACAAGUAUGGCCCAAAGAUUCUGAUGAUCUCUGUUAUCUCAUCGAUCAAAUAUAUGAAGGUCCGACGUUGGACCUCAAACAGUCGUCAACUCGUCCAAUCUUCGAGAAUGAGAGCCUUCACAUCGAGCGUUUGAGAGCCUUCGCAUAGAGCAUUUGAGUUGUUUGUUAAAUUGAAGAGCUUUCUCACAAUGUUAAAUCACUAUAAAUAAUCAAUUCUAUUUAUAGAGAUAAGGUACCUGAUGGUUAAGUCUAACUUGUAUAGAAACCAAUUUCAACCCCCAUGUACUUAACAUGAAUUGAUCCACUGUGUUUGAUCUUUGACGUGGCUUCAUCCUUGCAGUUGCAAAUUGUUCCCACCA